rnacentral:misc_RNA from 1 species
UAAAUAAUUUCACAUGGCAACAGUAUUAAUCAAAUCAAAAUUUAAUUAUUUCCUUUAAAAUAUAUCACGCGCCGUUACGGCCGUCCUGCAUCUUCACACGUCCUUGUGUGUAUCCUCGAAAGUUUUUGAAAACAAAGCCAAACAUGUUGUUAAUACUUGUAUGCUCGGUCAUACUGACCAACUAAAUAAAGUGACGUUAUGCUGCACAGGCACAUAACGCACUUAGGCUGCUAUGCCAUACAGCAUAUUUUGCCACACAGGCUACUUUACCACACAGGCUAUACAGCAUAUUUUGCCACACAGGCUACUAUACCACACAAGCUAUUAUGCCACACAGGUUACUAUACCACACAAGCUAUUAUGCCACACAGGCUAUUUUGUUUACACAGGUUACUAUGUCACACAAGCUAUUAUGCCACAGAGGCUAUUAUGCGACACAGGCUACUAUGUCACACAGGCUAUUAAGCCACACAGGCUACUAUCACAUAAACUGUGGUUUAUCACAAGAAAUCACAGACCUACCAUCGCCGUUAUCGGCACGUCCUGACUCUGCAUCAAUAGGUAUUUUGUAGGCGUUAACUACCGCGAGAGUUUCCAACUCAUAUGAAACCUAGACUCAGCGGAGUUUUGUACGACGGCUGUGAUAUUCGACCACAUGAGUCUUGCCUGCGAAUUUCUGUAUCAGUAUCGCCCCAUAUCCAUCAACGCUGGCAUCAGUGUGGACUCCAUUAGGUUUUUCGGGGUCAAAUAUGGUAAGAACUGGUCUAUCAGUCAGUACGCUUAUAAUAUCUUUUCUAAUUUUCUCAAAAGGCGGCGUCUAGGUGAUUUUACCCUUACCUGAAGUAAGCCUGUACAAAGGAGCGAUUUCUUGAGAGAAAUCAGGCACAAACUGUCGAAAAUACGAAGCCAAGCCUAUAAAUUGUCGGAGUUGAGUAACGGUUUGGGGAGGCGGUAGUUCAGUCAAAGCCUUUAUUUUACGCGAGUUUGGUCGAACUUCACCAGUAAAUACUUCAAACUCCAAAAAUUCAACCGUAGUUUUCAAAAAAGAGCAUUUUUUUUUAAUUUAUUGCAAAGCCACACUUUGUUAAAGCCUUAAGAGCUUUGCGUAGUUUAUCAAUACCUUAAUCUACUGUGCGGGAUGGAAUAAGGACGUCAUCGAUGUAUGUCGCAGCAAAGGUCUCAUUAGGGGGCAAAAGAGCUUUAUUUAUAGCACGUUGAUACACUGAAGGUGUAUUACGGAGACCAAAGGGCAUGGAGAGUUAUUCAAACUGUCCGUCGGGAGUAACAAAAGCGGUACGCUCGAUCGAGUCCUCGUUAACAGGUAUCUGAUGGAAACCGCUUGCCAUAUCUAAUGACGUAAAAUAGUGAGCUGCCACCAAUCUCUGAAAUUGAUCCGAUAUCAAUGGUAGUGGGUAACGAUCAGGCACAGUGUUACUGUUUAACUCCCGAUAGUCCACACACAAGCGUUCAGUUCCAUCCGUUUUCUUUAUCAGUAGGAUUGGACUAAAAAAAAG